AUUGAACGCUGGCGGCAGGCUUAACACAUGCAAGUCGAGCGGAGCGAGGGUGCUUGCACCUUAGCUUAGCGGCGGACGGGUGAGUAAUGCUUAGGAAUCUGCCUAUUAGUGGGGGACAACAUUCCGAAAGGAAUGCUAAUACCGCAUACGCCCUACGGGGGAAAGCAGGGGAUCUUCGGACCUUGCGCUAAUAGAUGAGCCUAAGUCGGAUUAGCUAGUUGGUGGGGUAAAGGCCUACCAAGGCGACGAUCUGUAGCGGGUCUGAGAGGAUGAUCCGCCACACUGGGACUGAGGCACGGCCCAGACUCCUGCGGGAGGCAGCAGUGGGGAAUAUUGGACAAUGGGCGGAAGCCUGAUCCAGCCAUGCCGCGUGUGUGAAGAAGGCCUUUUGGUUGUAAAGCACUUUAAGCGAGGAGGAGGCUACUUAGAUUAAUACUCUGGGAUAGUGGACGUUACUCGCAGAAUAAGCACCGGCUAACUCUGUGCCAGCCGCCGCGGUAAUAC
rnacentral:rRNA from 1 species